AUACGGAGGGGGUUAGCGUUGUUCGGAAUUACUGGGCGUAAAGCGUACGUAGGCGGACUGGAAAGUUGGGGGUGAAAUCCCGGGGCUCAACCCCGGAACUGCCUCCAAAACUUCCAAUCUAGAGAUCGAGAGAGGUGAGUGGAAUUCCAAGUGUAGAGGUGAAAUUCGUAGAUAUUUGGAGGAACACCAGUGGCGAAGGCGGCUCACUGGCUCGAUACUGACGCUGAGGUACGAAAGCGUGGGGAGCAAACAGGAUUAGAUACCCUAGUAGUCC
rnacentral:rRNA from 1 species